rnacentral:rRNA from 1 species
CCUACGGGGUGCAGCAGUGGGGAAUAUUGGACAAUGGGCGAAAGCCUGAUCCAGCCAUGCCGCGUGCGUGAAGAAGGCCUUCGGGUUGUAAAGCACUUUCAGUGGGGAAGAAAGCCUUGGGGCUAAUACCCUCGAGGAAGGACAUCACCCACAGAAGAAGCACCGGCUAACUCCGUGCCAGCAGCCGCGGUAAUACGGAGGGUGCGAGCGUUAAUCGGAAUUACUGGGCGUAAAGCGCGCGUAGGCGGUCUGAUAAGCCGGUUGUGAAAGCCCCGGGCUCAACCUGGGAACGGCAUCCGGAACUGUCAGGCUAGAGUGCAGGAGAGGAAGGUAGAAUUCCCGGUGUAGCGGUGAAAUGCGUAGAGAUCGGGAGGAAUACCAGUGGCGAAGGCGGCCUUCUGGACUGACACUGACGCUGAGGUGCGAAAGCGUGGGUAGCAAACAGGAUUAGAUACCCGAGUAGUC